rnacentral:lncRNA from 1 species
ACCUCUCGGUGCCGCCCUUGAGAUUGGGGCAUUUCUCGCUGAGAUCCUGCACUCGGCUCCAGGUAUCCUGGAGGAAAGAACGAACUUCUCCUGGGCCCAGAAGUUUAGGUCCGCUGUCGUCCCCCGCCUGCCUCUAAGGCCCUCUCCUCGCGACAGCCUCUGAAACCAUCGGCUCCUUCCUCAUUUCUGUCACGGCCUGGCUUGCAUUCCAAGCCAGGCACUCAUUUCAUGUUUAUUGUUCCAGCUGGACUAGGGGUACUUAAACCGUGGUCCAUGGCUGGGCUUCCGGGGCCGUGACCCCCUUAAAUUAUAUGCAGUAUGUAGCUUGUU